rnacentral:lncRNA from 1 species
AGAUGAAGUUAGCCUUCUCAGCUAGCCUUUAGAUUUGUCUGUUAACAGUAGAAAUGCUAUAAGAAAUCGGUAACAUAUGUUGCCAGGCAGGGAAAAGUGGUAGACAAGAGCCUGGGAGACCAAGCCAAGUACCAUGUGAAAGAAUUCAAAUUCCAAUCUAGGUGCUGCUAAUUACCAUCUGAAAAGCAAUUUGAAAGUGUUGUUACUUGCUUGUACUCUUCCUCAUUUUUCUUCUUUCUUUCUUUCUUUCUUUCUUUCUUUCUUUCUUUCUUUCUUUCUCUUCAGAUUGCUUUCUUACCCAAAUUAUCUCCGUGAUUGCCUGCCCUGCGGCUUUGGGCCAAUGCAAACUACAAAAUGGCAAGUCUUACAAUAUUGUCUCUCCUUGUCUGGCCUCUAUCCUCCUUCCAGAAUGAACAGAGCUAUAUCCCUAAGCACUGGACCUUGAUUUCACAGCCUCAUCCAAAGCCAGGCAAUUCUUGAGGCAAACAAACAAAGGGGUGUGAGUGAUUUCAUUUAUUUUGAUAAUCCUCUGUCUGCACAGGGGCACUUUGCUGUCUUUGUCAAAGUGAAUGACAACAAUUUGGCCAACUCUCUCUGAGCUGCACUCAACAGUGACAGGCAAAUUAUCAGA